AUGAACGCUAGCGACAGGCCUAACACAUGCAAGUCAGGGGCAGCACAAGGAGCAAUCUGAGGUGGCGACCGGCGCACGGGUGAGUAACACGUAUGCAACCUGCCUGUAAGCGGGGAAUAACCCGUUGAAAGACGGACUAAUACCGCAUAAUACUAAAUUACUGCAUGGUAAUUAUUUAAACAUUUAUGGCUUACAGAUGGGCAUGCGCAUGAUUAGCUAGUUGGAGAGGUAACGGCUCCCCAAGGCAACGAUCAUUAGGGGUUCUGAGAGGAAGGUCCCCCACACUGGUACUGAGACACGGACCAGACUCCUACGGGAGGCAGCAGUGAGGAAUAUUGGUCAAUGGACGAGAGUCUGGACCAGCCAAGUCGCGUGCAGGAAGAAUGUCCCUAUGGAUUGUAAACUGCUUUUGCAGGGGAAUAAAGUGCAUCACGUGUGAUGUUUUGUAUGUACUCUGCGAAUAAGGAUCGGCUAACUCCGUGCCAGCCGCCGC
rnacentral:rRNA from 1 species